rnacentral:rRNA from 1 species
UACGGAGGGGGCUAGCGUUGUUCGGAAUCACUGGGCGUAAAGCGCACGUAGGGCGGAUUGUUGAAGUCAGGGGUGAAAUCCCGAGGCUCAACCUCGGAACUGCCUUUGAUACUGGCAAUCUUCGAGUCCGGGAGAGGUGAGUGGAACUCCGAGUGUAGAGGUGAAAUUCGUAGAUAUUCGGAAGAACACCAGUGGCGAAGGCGGCUCACUGGCCCGGUACUGACGCUGAGGUGCGAAAGCGUGGGGAGCAAACAGG